rnacentral:rRNA from 1 species
UACGGGGGGAGCAAGCGUUGUUCGGAUUUACUGGGCGUAAAGGGCGCGUAGGCGGCCAGCACAAGUCAGUUGUGAAAUCUCCGAGCUUAACUCGGAAAGGUCAACUGAUACUGUGCGGCUAGAGUGCGGAAGGGGCAACUGGAAUUCUCGGUGUAGCGGUGAAAUGCGUAGAUAUCGAGAGGAACACCUGCGGCGAAGGCGGGUUGCUGGGCUGACACUGACGCUGAUGCGCGAAAGCCAGGGGAGGCGAAACGGG